rnacentral:rRNA from 1 species
AGAGUUUGAUCCUGGCUCAGGACGAACGCUGGCGGCGUGCCUAAUACAUGCAAGUCGAGCGGACAGAAGGGAGCUUGCUCCCGGAUGUUAGCGGCGGACGGGUGAGUAACACGUGGGUAACCUGCCUGUAAGACUGGGAUAACUCCGGGAAACCGGAGCUAAUACCGGAUAGUUCCUUGAACCGCAUGGUUCAAGGAUGAAAGACGGUUUCGGCUGUCACUUACAGAUGGACCCGCGGCGCAUUAGCUAGUUGGUGGGGUAAUGGCUCACCAAGGCGACGAUGCGUAGCCGACCUGAGAGGGUGAUCGGCCACACUGGGACUGAGACACGGCCCAGACUCCUACGGGAGGCAGCAGUAGGGAAUCUUCCGCAAUGGACGAAAGUCUGACGGAGCAACGCCGCGUGAGUGAUGAAGGUUUUCGGAUCGUAAAGCUCUGUUGUUAGGGAAGAACAAGUGCGAGAGUAACUGCUCGCACCUUGACGGUACCUAACCAGAAAGCCACGGCUAACUACGUGCCAGCAGCCGCGGUAAUACGUAGGUGGCAAGCGUUGUCCGGAAUUAUUGGGCGUAAAGGGCUCGCAGGCGGUUUCUUAAGUCUGAUGUGAAAGCCCCCGGCUCAACCGGGGAGGGUCAUUGGAAACUGGGAAACUUGAGUGCAGAAGAGGAGAGUGGAAUUCCACGUGUAGCGGUGAAAUGCGUAGAGAUGUGGAGGAACACCAGUGGCGAAGGCGACUCUCUGGUCUGUAACUGACGCUGAGGAGCGAAAGCGUGGGGAGCGAACAGGAUUAGAUACCCUGGUAGUCCACGCCGUAAACGAUGAGUGCUAAGUGUUAGGGGGUUUCCGCCCCUUAGUGCUGCAGCUAACGCAUUAAGCACUCCGCCUGGGGAGUACGGUCGCAAGACUGAAACUCAAAGGAAUUGACGGGGGCCCGCACAAGCGGUGGAGCAUGUGGUUUAAUUCGAAGCAACGCGAAGAACCUUACCAGGUCUUGACAUCCUCUGACAACCCUAGAGAUAGGGCUUUCCCUUCGGGGACAUAGUGACAGGUGGUGCAUGGUUGUCGUCAGCUCGUGUCGUGAGAUGUUGGGUUAAGUCCCGCAACGAGCGCAACCCUUGAUCUUAGUUGCCAGCAUUAAGUUGGGCACUCUAAGGUGACUGCCGGUGACAAACCGGAGGAAGGUGGGGAUGACGUCAAAUCAUCAUGCCCCUUAUGACCUGGGCUACACACGUGCUACAAUGGACAGAACAAAGGGCUGCAAGACCGCAAGGUUUAGCCAAUCCCAUAAAUCUGUUCUCAGUUCGGAUCGCAGUCUGCAACUCGACUGCGUGAAGCUGGAAUCGCUAGUAAUCGCGGAUCAGCAUGCCGCGGUGAAUACGUUCCCGGGCCUUGUACACACCGCCCGUCACACCACGAGAGUUUGCAACACCCGAAGUCGGUGAGGUAACCUUUAUGGAGCCAGCCGCCGAAGGUGGGGCAGAUGAUUGGGGUGAAGUCGUAACAAGGUAACC